rnacentral:rRNA from 1 species
GUGCCAGACUCCUACGGGAGGCAGCAGUGAGGAAUAUUGGUCAAUGGGCGAGAGCCUGAACCAGCCAAGUCGCGUGAGGGAGGACGGUCCUAUGGAUUGUAAACCUCUUUUGCCGGGGAGCAAAAAGCGGUACGUGUACCGCAUCGAGAGUACCCGGAGAAAAAGCAUCGGCUAACUCCGUGCCAGCAGCCGCGGUAAUACGGAGGAUGCGAGCGUUAUCCGGAUUUAUUGGGUUUAAAGGGUGCGCAGGCGGCGAGUUAAGUAGGGGGUAAAAUUCGGGGGCCAACCCCCGACAAGCCGUUGAAACUGGCUUGCUAGAGUGGGCGAGAAGUAUGCGGAAUGCGUGGUGUAGCGGUGAAAUGCAUAGAUAUCACGCAGAACUCCGAUUGCGAAGGCAGCCUUCCGGCGCCCUACUGACGCUGAGGCACGAAAGUGCGGGGAUCGAACAGGAUUAGAUACCCCUGUA